UGCUGUUAGUGAUGAUUUAAAAAAAAACAGAUGGGAAUCUCUCUGAAAAAGAAUGAAGAUUUUAUUUUAUAACUGAAACAGUA
rnacentral:snoRNA from 1 species